rnacentral:sRNA from 1 species
GCUAGGCAUAUUGGCACAUGCCUGUAAUCCCAGUGACUCAGGAGGCUGAGGCAAGAGGAUUACAAGUUCCAGACCAGCCUCAGCAUCUUAGUGAGACCCUAUCUCAA